rnacentral:rRNA from 1 species
AGGGAUCAUUACCGAGUUUACAACUCCCAAACCCAAUGUGAACCAUACCAAACUGUUGCCUCGGCGGGGUCACGCCCCGGGUGCGUCGCAGCCCCGGAACCAGGCGCCCGCCGGAGGGACCAACCAAACUCUUUCUGUAGUCCCCUCGCGGACGUUAUUUCUUACAGCUCUGAGCAAAAAUUCAAAAUGAAUCAAAACUUUCAACAACGGAUCUCUUGGUUCUGGCAUCGAUGAAGAACGCAGCGAAAUGCGAUAAGUAAUGUGAAUUGCAGAAUUCAGUGAAUCAUCGAAUCUUUGAACGCACAUUGCGCCCGCCAGUAUUCUGGCGGGCAUGCCUGUCCGAGCGUCAUUUCAACCCUCGAACCCCUCCGGGGGGUCGGCGUUGGGGAUCGGGAACCCCUAAGACGGGAUCCCGGCCCCGAAAUACAGUAGGCGGUCUCGCCGCAGCCUCUCCUGCGCAGUAGUUUGCACAACUCGCACCGGGAGCGCGGCGCGUCCACGUCCGUAAAACA